UGAGCGUUUAGUUUGCUUUUCAUUUCAGUCCAUUUAUUUACGAAACGCCUUUUGUUUACGAAACGUCUCACUCGUUUCAAAUGUACUCCUUGUGUAAUAUUUGUGUAGUAUUAUCAUUAUUCAAUAUGGAAAUUUCUGCGCUUACCAAUCAUCCUUCAUUCAAUGAUAGUCCAGUUGUAAGGGAGAGGUUCGCCCAGUUUAACUGUUAUAAACUAAAAACUUGUACGCCGGGUGGCGAUACAGUUUGCGGAUUCGACGACACACAAUUAUUCCUUGCUGAAUUUGAGGAUUUGUGCACGUUGUACAAAAAGAACUGUGAGACGCGGGGCAUGUUUCGUCUCAUCGAGGCAUCCAUUUGCGAAGGCCAAAAGAAAUAUUUAUCCCAGCCACGAGAUACUAUGCUCUAAAUUUGAAUUCGAUGUUUUU